ACACUCCUGCGGGAGGCAGCAGUGGGGAAUAUUGGACAAUGGGCGCAAGCCUGAUCCAGCCAUGCCGCGUGAGUGAUGAAGGCCCUAGGGUUGUAAAGCUCUUUUGUGCGGGAAGAUAAUGACGGUACCGCAAGAAUAAGCCCCGGCUAACUUCGUGCCAGCAGCCGCGGUAAUACGAAGGGGGCUAGCGUUGCUCGGAAUCACUGGGCGUAAAGGGUGCGUAGGCGGGUCUUUAAGUCAGGGGUGAAAUCCUGGAGCUCAACUCCAGAACUGCCUUUGAUACUGAAGAUCUUGAGUUCGGGAGAGGUGAGUGGGACUGCGAGUGUAAAGGGGAAAUUCGUAGAUAUUCGCAAGAACACCAGUGGCGAAGGCGGCUCACUGGCCCGAUACUGACGCUGAGGCACGAAAGCGUUGGGAGCAAACAGGAUUAGAUACCCUGGUAGUCCC
rnacentral:rRNA from 1 species